rnacentral:rRNA from 1 species
GAUGAACGCUGGCGGCGUGCCUAAUACAUGCAAGUCGAGCGAACGGACGAGACGCUUGCUUCUCUGAUGUUAGCGGCGGACGGGUGAGUAACACGUGGAUAAUCUACCUAUAAGACUGGGAUAACUUCGGGAAACCGGAGCUAAUACCGGAUAAUAUUUUGAACCGCAUGGUUCAAAAGUGAAAGACGGUCUUGCUGUCACUUAUAGAUGGAUCCGCGCUGCAUUAGCUAGUUGGUAAGGUAACGGCUUACCAAGGCAACGAUGCAUAGCCGACCUGAGAGAGGGAUCGGCCACACUGGAACUGAGACACGGUCCAGACGCCUACGGGAGGCAGCAGUAGGGAAUCUUCCGCAAUAGGCGGAAGCCUGACGGAGCAACGCCAAGUGAGUGAUAAAGGUCUUCGGAUCGGAAAGCUCUGUUAUUGGGGAAGAACAUAUUUGUAAGUAACUGUGCACAGCUUGACGGUACCUAAUCAGAAAGCCACGGCUAACUACGUG